rnacentral:sRNA from 1 species
ACCCCUCUGACCGAGAUCCUGCUGCUUUCGCAGCCAGGAGCACCGUCCCUCCCCGGAUUAGUGCGUACGAGCGCCCAGUGCCCUGGCCCUGAGUGGAAUGGUCCCCGAGGCCCAGGGCGUCGUGCUUCUGCGCGCCCCGUGAAGGAAACUGGGGAGUCUCGAGGGACCCCCAACUCCAAGCGCGAAAACCCCGGAUGGUGAGGAGCAGGCAAAUGUGCAAUACCAACAUGUCUGUACCUACUGAUGGUGCUGUAACCACCUCACAGAUUCCAGCUUCGGAACAAGAGACCCUGGUUAGACCAAAGCCAUUGCUUUUGAAGUUAUUAAAGUCUGUUGGUGCACAAAAAGACACUUAUACUAUGAAAGAGGUUCUUUUUUAUCUUGGCCAGUAUAUUAUGACUAAACGAUUAUAUGAUGAGAAGCAACAACAUAUUGUAUAUUGUUCAAAUGAUCUUCUAGGAGAUUUGUUUGGCGUGCCAAGCUUCUCUGUGAAAGAGCACAGGUAAUUCUUCAGUUUAGUCCAUUGUAAAAAGCCAUUUGGGCUAACAUUUCAGUUCACCUCUACCCUCAUUCAC